AUGUUUUAUUUGGCCUCUCUCCGUACCCUCUUUUAAUUCAUGAAAUAAGGUUUACUUUAUAGCAAAUUCAGUCCUGUCAGAUCUGCUACUUAACAUCCUUUAAGUUUAGCCCUCCCCAAUUAUAAGGCAGGGAAUUCCAUGCACAUUCUCCUAGUGACAAAAUGACAGCCCCUGCCAGUCUCUUCUGUCUCCAUUCCUGCGUCGAGGCCUGAAAUCCAGUCUUCCGUACCUACUGGAGACCAAAUGUGCCAGGCUUGUCUUACAAUACUUAACAUUUCCUCUGCCUUUCUGUCUUAACCUUCUAGUCAAGUACAUUAAAAACCUAGGCCCGGCCUUCGUCUCUUUCUUUGCCCUCCCCACCCCAUUCAUCCCAUACCUGGUUAACAAUGAUUUGUCCUUCCUGUGUGCCCAUAGGACUCAUUCCUUUAGUCUAGCACAUACCACACUCAUUACUUGUUCAGUGUCUUUCCAGCUCCCACCCACAGUUCUAUGAGAAAGGGAACAGUGUUUUAAUUUUUGUUUCCCUCCUUCUUACUGUAGUUCCCUAUAUACGUAGUGGAGCCUCAAUAAAUAUUGGUUGAAUGAAUGUUAAUUCGUAAGUAAAUAUAAAAUGUAUUCUGUUACUCAUAAUUAUCUGAAUAAUCUUAAUGUAUGGAUUGUUUGUAAAAUUGAACGCAUUGGAAAAAUGUUCAUUUAUUCUGUAAACAUUUGCAAAUGUCUACUAUGAUCUGGAGCUAUAAAAAUUUUAAGACAAAAUUCCUGUCUUCAAAAUUUUCACAGUGGGAUCAGGGAACAGGGAAGCCCGUAUUUAUCAGAGUGCUUUUAGUUUAUCAUUUGCUAUUAAAAACAUUAUUGGAAGUUUGUUCACAAGAUAACAAAAUGUGUGUUUAUAUUUAUUAACUAUGGUCCGACCUUUGAAUGUUCCCCUAAAAAUGUUACUGGAUUCUAAAAGACAUGAGAAGAAUCAGAUUCAUUUUAGAAUCUAAGUAGAUGGUUUCUUUUUCUUUAUUAGGCGCUUUGACUUCCGUCCAAAACCUGAUCCUUAUUGUCAAGCUAAGUAUACUUUCUGUCCAACUGGCUCACCUAUCCCAGUUAUGGAGGGUGAUGAUGACAUUGAAGUUUUUCGAUUACAAGCCCCAGUAUGGGAAUUUAAAUAUGGAGACCUCCUGGAACACUUGGUAAGGAUGCAUCUUGGUCUUAUAACUUUGGUUAAUUCAAUGAUUUGGUUAUUAAGUUGAUUUUUAAGGAGUAAUCACUAUUUAGAUGGCUGACUUUAGAUCAUGUUGGUGUUUGUCUUAGUACAUUUAAAAUGAGUAGUCAAAAAUAGUUACUAUCAGAUUUUGUAAUCUUGACAACAACAAAUGUAAUCACCAUUAUCCAUUGUAAUAUUAUGAAUCUGAAACCAGCUCCUGUACCUAGCUCCUGGAAGGUGAGAAGAGGCCCAGAAGUGGCAGGGCAGGCAGGUAACACCUCUUGAUUUCCAUACCCUGUUGUAGUCACUUUUCCAGGUUAACCCAUCACCAUGUGAGGUCUGUAGAGCUGCUUCCAGAGACUGGCAUGGGGGCUCCUCACACUUAUUCUAAGCUCUAAGGAAAUUAUGAGCUUGUCCACAUAACAUGCAGGCCUCCUAUUUGAGAUGAGCCAAAUAGGGGUGUAGUGGCCAAAGCCGGGGUGGAUGAGGGCCUGGAGUUUGGGGCCACAGAGUGGAUAUGAAAAUAGCAGCAUGGAAGAACAGCUGAACAGUUGUUCUACUUGAUAUGCAUUUGUGAUGUGCCACAUUUUCUCCUAUCAGGUUACCUGGACCCAUGGUUGUGUCACAGUUGCUUUUAUACAUGUACUGUCUUUACACAGAAAAUUAUGCAUGAUGCCAUUGGAUUCAGAAGUACAUUAACUGGCAAGAACUACACAAUGGAAUGGUAUGAACUUUUCCAACUUGGCAACUGUACAUUUCCCCAUCUCCGACCUGAAAUGGAUGCCCCUUUCUGGUGUAAUCAAGGCGCUGCCUGCUUUUUUGAGGGAAUCGAUGAUGUUCACUGGAAGGAAAAUGGGACAUUAGUUCAAGUAGCAACUAUAUCAGGUAAGUUUUGAAAAUAUAGUAAUAUUUGAUCAUUGCAUCAAAAACCAAAUGAAAGAAAUUGUUAUACUUCCAUUGAAACAUUUCAGUAAUGUUUUACUUAGAGGUCAUUUGUAAAAUGUACUUUUGGAACCAUUAAACUUUGGGAAUUUUUUUCAUCUCUUAUUUGUAUUUUUUAUUUAUUUUAUUUGAAUAGGUUUGUGGGGAACUGGUUAUGUUAAGUUACAUGAAUAAGUUCUUUAGUGGUGAUUUCUGAGAUUUUUGCGCACCCAUCACCCGAGCAGUGUACACUGUACCCAAUGUGUAGUCUUUUAUCCCUCACCCCUCUCUGACCCUUUUCCCCGACUUCCCAAAGUUCAUCAUUCUUAUGCCUUUGCAUCCUCAUAGCUUAGCUCCCACUUACAAGUGAGAAUACACAAUGUUUGGUUUUCUAUUCCUGAAGAGUUACUUCACUUGGAUGGAAUUGGAGACCAUUAUUCCAGGUUGCUGCAAAUGCCAUUAUUUCAUUCCUUUUUAUGGCUGAGUAGUAUUAUUCCUUGGUAUAUAUACACCACAUUUUCUUUAUCCACUCAUUGAUUGAUGGGCGUUUGAGCUGGUUCCAUAUUUUUGCAAUUGCAAAUUGUGCUGCUAUAAACAUGCAUGGGAAAGUAUCUUUUGCGUAUAAUGAGUUCUCUUCCUUUGGGUAGAUACCCAGUAGUGGGAUUGCUGGAUCAAAUGGCAGUUCUACUUUUAGUUCUUUAAGGAAUCUCCACAGUGUUUUCCAUAGUGGUUGUACUAAUUUACAUUCCUACCAGCAGAGAAGAAGUGUUCCCUUUCCCCCACAUCCCGCCAAUAUCUAUUUUUUUUUAUUUUUUGAUUAUGGCCAUUCUUGCAGGAGUGAGGCGGUAUUACAUUGUGGUUUUGAUUUGCAUUUCCCUGAUCAUUGCAUUUCCCUGAGCAUUUUCAUGUUUCUUGGCCAUUUGUAUAUCUUCUGAGAAUUGUCUAUUUGUGUCCUUAGCCACCCCCACCCCGCCUUUUUUUUUUGUUUGUUUUUUUGAGGUGGAGUUUUGUUCUUGUCGCUCAGGCUGGAGUGCAAUGACACAAUCUCAGCUUGCUGCAACCUCCACCUCUUGGGUUCAAGCGAUUCUCCAGCCUUAGCGUCCCAAGUAGCUGGGAUUACAGGCGCCCGCCACCAUGCCAAGCUAAUUUUUGUAUUUUUAGUAGAGAUGGGGUUUCGCCAUGUUGGCCAGGCUGGUCUCAAACUCCUGACCUCAGGUCAUCUGCCCACCUCGGCCUCCCAAAGUGCUGGGAUUAAAGGUGUGAGCCACCACUCCCGGCCGUUAACCCACUUUUUGAUGGGAUUGUUUUUUUCUUGCUGAUUUGAGUUCCUUGUAGAUUCUGGAUAUUAGUCCUUUGUCAGAUGUAUAGAUUGCAAAGAUUUUCUCCCACUCUGUGGGUUGUCUAUUUACUCUGCUGAUUGUUCCUUUGGCUGUGCAGAAGCUUUUUAGUUUAAUUAAGUCUCAUCUAUUUAUAUUUGUUUUUGUUGCAUUUGCUUUUGGUGGAACCACUAAACUCUGACCCAAACUAUUACUCAUGCAGAACUUCACCUGUUGGUGAUGAGUAGCUUAUCUCUGAUCUUUGAAUGUUUCCCUAAAAAUGCUCUUUUCCUAUCAUAAAAAUGAAUAAAAUGAUAAAACAUUUUGUACAAUUAAAUUGGUCUUUCUAAACGAAAUAGUAAGAGAAAUCCAUAAAAUGCCUGAUUAAAGGAUAUGUUAACUAUAUCUGAAAAAAAUUUUAGUGAUGAUAUUUUUAUGUUGAAAAAUAAUAGCUACUAAUAUAGACUGGUUCUGGCACUGUUCUGAGUACUGUACAUAUAUCACAUCAUUCAUCAUCACAACUUCUGGAGGUAGUAACUAUUAUUUUGCCUAUUUUACAGAUGGAGAAACUGAGGCACAGAGAGGUUAAAGUUACACAGCUUAGUAAGUGGGACUCCAACCCUGGCAGUUACGCCCCAUUGCCCAUUCUCCUAACUACUUUGAUACAUUGCCUCCCAAAAUGUAUAUGAUCUUAUAUUUGAGACCCUCUUGAGCAGUUUAAAUAUUUUAUCUUUGAGAUUUUUUUCUUCUUUUGGAUGUAUUGGAAAGUUGCUGAAAGUUGGAAUUGUGUUGCAAGUGAUGCAUUGUUGGUUAGUAAUGAAAAGAGUUCAGCAAUCCUUUCAUUGGUAACUCCUUAUGUGACUUGGGUCACAUUUUAUAUCUUAUUGGCCCAUUGCCUCAUGUGCAAAAUGGAGACAAUAUACCAUAGCAUUUGAGAAGUAAGGAGCUUGUCCAUAUGAUUUAUGAAGCAUUACAUUAUAAAUUGCUGUUCCCCAGAACAGUAGAAACAUCUGAAAUGAAAGCACUGUUGUGACAAUAAUUAUUCAGUGAACCCCAGGACUUGAGGAAGUAAUCAUGCUUCCUAUUUGUAUAGCUCUUUACAAAUGAUUUGGAGGUAUGUUAACUCACGGUUCAGUGGAGAGGAUAAGAUACUCAUUCUCUGCAAAUAAGGAAUUGAGGCUCAGCCAGGUAACAUGACUUACUUGCCUCUCAAGGUCAAAGAGCUGGAUGUAGCAGAAUCAGGAAUAAAACUGAGGUCUCUUAAAUGUAACAAGGAUCUGUUAGCCGAAUGCACCAUGUUGUUUUCUAAUCUUUCCUGCUACUUUCUAAUCAAUGUGCCUUAAACCAUACCAACAAUACAAAAGUCCAUCAUUAGCGGCUCUUUCUUUCAUUCCAGGCCAGUUCACACCUUUCCCCAUUUCCACCUACAUCGUUAUCUGAAAAUCCUUCCUUCUGACAUAAAGUCAAUGAUCAUAUGAAUAAGUGAUCACUAUUUUUUGUAAAAUAGUUCAAAAUAUGCCAGUACUUAAAUCUUUUAAGUCAUUUAUUUGCCUUGUGAAUAAUCCUGUGAUUGACAAAAUAGUGUUUUGAAGCAUUCUUGUCUCAUAAGGAUAGUGGUGGCAUUUGAAAGUUGAAGAAUGCUAAGAACAGUAUCCCCAGUUCUAAUACAACAGGCUUUAUUCUGUUCUACAAUGUUAAUUCCAUAAAAUUGAUAAAGGCAGUCACUCUAUUCAUUUUACAGAACAUGAAGUAUUUAUUUUAUGGACUCAAGUUGGAGUAACCAAAGAGGUUUGCACACAGUGACAGGAUGCAGUGUUUGGGGCCCAGUUCUAUUAGGCAUUAUAAAUGCCCAAGAUGAGAGUUGUAACCAUGCAGAGUAGUGUUUUCUGAAUAUUUGGAAAGAUUCUUCUGGUGUAGUACAAGAUGGUAGGAGAGAGGGUUAGCCAUCCUGGAGUAUGGACUCGGCCUAAAACAUUUCCAGUUUAGUUGAUUUGUUGGAAGGACUUAACAUGGCAGGUGGAGAGGUCAUCAGCAGCAUCCCAACAACUCCAAGUACAGGGAAGAAAGAAACGUACCAAACACACAAGGUGGAUGGGGUAUGGUGCUUGUUCUCAUAACAGUAAUAGCCAGCCUUCUAGAGCAGUGGCUCCUCAGGCAGCCAUUCACUCUUUAUGUGUAGCAUGCUUUGCAACAGUGAAGCUCCACAUUUCCCACACCUCCAUUUUCCUUACACUGUCUUUGCCCAUUCUGCUUUUCCUCUUUCGCAAUUCUUUUUGUGCUUUCCUUUUCUCUUUUGCCUCUGAAUCCAAGAUUUGGUGAGUUGGGUAGAGAAAGAGAGCUUCUGCAUUUGUAUAAUUUCGCUUUGACUAUAGCUUAAAUGAUUAUAGAAUUAGUAUGUAAGAUGACUUCUCCUUAUACACCUAUUAUAUCUAAUGUUUACAAUUCAGAAAUAUCUUG
rnacentral:sRNA from 1 species